AGUGAUAUUCAUUUUUUUAAAAAACAAACAAACAAAUUACAAUUAAUAUUUUAAAAAGGGGAAGGAACGGAAAACCCAUUUUCACAAAACAUCAUUUUAUCCAACUCAUCUCCAGAUUUCCUAAAUGUAGACAAUAAAUCUGGUUGUGGAGAAGUGUUUGGAUUGCACCGGGUGGAAAAUAUUUGAAUUACGCCACUGAUAUUUUAAGAUAGACUGUACCACGCCAGGGAAGUUUUGUUUGCUGGCUACAAGCCACAUGUCGCAAAUCAUUCGCAGAAAUAUUCCAUUCCUGGCCAUCCGGGCGAAGGGCCAAAUUUAAGUAGUUAUAAAGUCAUUGGACAAGCAUCUCCUAAUGGAUGGAGAAUCGGGGAGGGGCUGAUUAAAAGUUCAAUUAGUCAAUUAACACCCGCACCCAACGGAUUUAAUCUGGCGGUCACAGGAAGUGACACUAUUCAGGAACACGAAUAAAAAGGCGGAUGGCAGCUUUGGGCCCCUCAAUCCGUCCCUUGGUGACUUUUCUCGACAUCUCUGUCUCUUCUCGCAAACUUUAGGCUUCUUCACCCUUUGGAGAACCAUGAAUCAGCAAAAACAAGGUUGUAAGGUCCCUCCCUGCCCAGGACCUUGCGGUCCCCCCAAAUGUCCCCCCAAGUCUUGUUGCUCACAUUCCUACAAGGGGUUGCCCCAAAAGGGGCCCUGCUGCCCUCCGUCCAAAAAUGUGCAGUGUCCUCCACAGAAGGCCCAACACCCUCCUAAACAGUGUUGAUGGUUGCCAUGCCCCACGGAUAAAGGGGAAGGGGCUGAGAAAGAACUUCAACCCACCCUCCUCCGGUGCUGCUUCCAAGCCUUCCCACCCAGCGUUCUCCAUCGUGUCCUCAGGAGGUCUCAACUGACGUCUUCUGGAAAUGGUCCUGGCGAUUGUUAGAUCUUCUCAAGAACAUCCAAAUUUUGUUUGAUUUCCCACGGAGCAACUCUGUCACUCUCGAAGACAUAACAGCAAAGUUUUAAUAAAAAUACUCGCUCCUCCACCGAA